UUGGCAGCACGUAUACUAAAUAUACUAAAACUGGAACAAUACAGAGAACGUUAGCAUGGCCCUGUGUGAGGAUGACACAGGAAUUCAUGAAGCAUUCCAUGUUGAG